rnacentral:other from 1 species
GUUACAAUUUCUAACAAUCCCUAUUAGGGAUUGAAAC